GGCAGAUCAUUCGAGAUCGUUCGGCUUUUAUUGUAUAAGAGUGUCAUUUUCGACAAAGCAAAACUAAUUCGAAAUCACGGAGGAUUUACACAUAACAAAUGCAUUUCAUAAUGGCAAUAAAUGAUGAAGGUUAAAGGACGAUAAUAAGUGCAUCUUUCGUUGCAGUAUAAAAUUACGUAAUUAGGAAUUAAAAUAUAGCGGAGGACCGGGAUACCAUUCCCCAUUUGUGGACCACAUGAGUUUAAAUGUAGAAUAUGCAAGAGAGAGUCCUUCAACAGAGCCGGACUAAAACAGUAAAUAAAACAAACGAACCAAACAAAAAAAUGUUAAGCUGAUGUUUUAUGUGGUUUUUUUUGUUUGAUUAAUUUUAUUAUUUCUACAUAGACAGGUCUGACAUACAAUUGCUAUGAGUGCUACGUAACUACACGCUUUGUUCCGUAUAUGUCAUGAUGCUAGUUUCUCACUUUUUUAUGAAAAUAAACCAUCUGUGUCACGUCA